UACGUAGGGACCGAGCGUUGUCCGGAUUCAUUGGGCGUAAAGAGCUCGUAGGCGGCUGCUCAAGUCGAAUGUGAAAACUCGAGGCUCAACCUCGAGCCUGCAUUCGAUACUGGGCGGCUAGAGUCUGGUAGGGGGAUCUGGAAUUCCUGGGUGUAGCGGGUGGAAUGCGCAGAUAUCAGGAGGAACACCGGUGGCGAAGGCGGGAUCCUGGGCCAGUACUGACGCUGAGGAGCGAAAGCGUGGGGAGCAAACAGG
rnacentral:rRNA from 1 species